rnacentral:lncRNA from 1 species
UUAUGUGUCAAGAGAGAUGAUCAGGGGUGACUCAACGGUCCUCAAGGAUAUGAAGAAAUACCCAUUUCAGUGAGCAGCUGGUCUGCAUUUCCACAGCAGAAAGUAAUUUUAUUUAAAUUAUUACAGCAUAUAUUUGAAGAUACAAGUGUUUCACCUAGGCAAUCUCAUCAAACAAAAACUCCAGAGAAGCCUGAAUGCUGUCCACCUCUCCCACUCUUUACUAGCUCAACACCACAUCUCAAAGAAUGGGUCAAAGGGGAGAUAAGGCAUCUUUGGAAUGUGAAGAUUCAGACUUCUUUCGGGUCCAGCUACUGUGUUCAAAAUUUUUUGUUAGCCUCUAUCCCCCAUGUCCAGUGUAAGGCUGAGCCGCUUCUGUGCUAUGGAUAAAGUGAUUAAUUAAUAGUAAACACCUAGAUGCAUGCACAAACUUGAAUUCCUCAUAACAGAAUGCUUCUUCUCAGUGUUGAUGGGUAAGAGGGCUUGGAUUGGGGUUCUUUCGGGAUCCAAUUACUGUGCUAAAAUGGCCCAUUUGACUCCAAAGAAGGGGAAUUUACCUAACCUGCUAUUAAAAAAAAAAAAGACUGGAUAACCAGCUAGAUGUGCCGGGACCUCUUAUUUUGUCUCUAGCAUUUUCUUGUCCUGUACAGACAUCUGAACUAAAGUAUAAGAAGUGUAAGGUCUAUAAAGAAAGAGAAUGCAAUCAUAGUCUAUUUGUACCAUGACCACCCCACCCCAUCCCCAGCCCAGCUUUUAUCAUAAAGUUGGGCACACAGAAGGCUAUUAACUAGUACUUGUUAAAUGAAUGUCAUCUGUCCAAAAUUUUAAUAUUUUAUUUUAUAGCUGCUUGUUCUAGUUAUUCUCUAAUUCAUUGUCUAACACUGCUGCCUCUGAAGACUGCAUUUCUCUCGUUAUUCAUCCUCUCUUAUCUCACAGAAACAUCUAUUCUUCCCUACCCCCUCAGAUAACUUUAGUCAUCUAAUUCCUGAACUACCAAAACCUCUUAACUUCCUUAAUUCAGCCCCCACUCUUCUACUUAGAACCAAACAUCAAUGUUAAGUCACCUUAAUUCAUAAUGUUUUGACCACAUCACUUUCUAUACCUUCUUUCCAUGCUCAGUUACAUGACUAAAACUAGCUUUGACUUCCCAAAUGACAAGACUCCUACCUCCUCUCAUUUCAAACUUUUCCCAAAACCCACUUUGUGUAGGAAGCCAUUUCAGAACACCUUGGUCAGAUGAAAAUAUCCACCCAUCAAAAGUUCUCAGAGUUCACUCACCUUUCUGCCUGCAUCAAAUCUAUUUGAAAGAAAAAAAGAAGUCUCAAUUGAGGUAAAAAGCCCAUGAAAGAAACAGUGUUUGUAGGUGGUGUGUGGGUGUGUUGGAGGAUUAAGCACAUGCACACACAUGUUUAUGUACACAUAUAGUAUAUGCAUAUACAUACAUACACACACACAUGCUGUAAAUAUAUCCUGCCCAAAUUAGCACAAACCCACAAGCUUAAAAACCAAAUCUGCUAAAUCUGACCCAAACCACAGGUACUGAGCCCUAUGGCUACUUCCUACAAGCAGAUGCAUUACCUUUGUGACAAAGUCAAUUGCGAGUUGCAAGAAGGAUAGGUAAAUAUCACUACAGGCAGCUAGGAUUCUGCUUUUUUUUAAAAGUUAAAUGCAAAGCUUACUUAUCACCUCAGGAUAUUGACCACGUUAUUUCUGCACAAUACCCAGAAUAUCCUAGACACUGAGAAAUACUAAAUUUACAACUUAAGCAGGAAAACAGAGGCUUGCUUCACAGUGGUUUAAUAUGAACAGAGUUGAAUAUG